AUUGAACGCUGGCGGCAUGCUUUACACAUGCAAGUCGAACGGUAACAGGCCGCAAGGUGCUGACGAGUGGCGAACGGGUGCGUAAUGCAUCGGAACGUGCCCAGUCGUGGGGGAUAACUACUCGAAAGAGUAGCUAAUACCGCAUACGAUCUAUGGAUGAAAGCGGGGGACCGUAAGGCCUCGCGCGAUUGGAGCGGCCGGUGUCAGAUUAGGUAGUUGGUGGGGUAAAGGCUCACCAAGCCAACGAUCUGUAGCUGGUCUGAGAGGACGACCAGCCACACUGGGACUGAGACACGGCCCAGACUCCUACGGGAGGCAGCAGUGGGGAAUUUUGGACAAUGGGCGCAAGCCUGAUCCAGCAAUGCCGCGUGCAGGAAGAAGGCCUUCGGGUUGUAAACUGCUUUUGUACGGAACGAAACGGCUCUGGUUAAUACCCGGGGCUAAUGACGGUACCGGAAGAAUAAGCACCGGCUAACUACGUG
rnacentral:rRNA from 1 species